GCAACAAAAUGGUUCGUAUUUGGUUGAUUAAAAAUGUGCUUCCCCCAAGUUCAUCCCCUCCUCACUGUGGUGGGCACACUGGCAACAGGUAGUGUCAGAGCUAUGCCGUCAGGAACUUCGGUUCCUGAUAGGGCCACCCAAGGCGGAUUGGUCUGACACCGAGUGGUAUUAGGGCCACAACCCGGCAGACAGG